rnacentral:rRNA from 1 species
GAUCCAGCAACGCCGCGUGGAGGGACGAAGGGUCUUCGGAUCGUAAACUCCUGUCAGGCGGGACGAAGGCUUCCGGGCGAACAGUCCGGAAGCUUGACGGUACUGCCAGACGGAAGCCCCCGGCUAACUCCGUGCCAGCAGCCGCGGUAAUACGGAGGGGGCUAGCGUUAUUCGGAAUUAUUGGGCGUAAAGGGCGCGUAGGCGGCCCGGUAAGUCAAAAGGUGAAAAUCCCUCGGCUCAACUGAGGGAACUGCCUUUGAAAACUGUACGGGCUUGUGGCCGGGAGGGGGUAGCGGAAUUCCCAGUGUAGCGGUGAAAUGCGUAGAUAUUGGGAGGAACACCGGUGGCGAAGGCGGCUACCUGGACCGGUUCUGACGCUGAUGCGCGAAAGCGUGGGUAGCAAACAGGAUUAGAUACCCUGGUAGUCCACGCUGUAAACGAUGAGUGCUCGGUGUCGCGGGUAUCGACCCCCUGCGGUGCCUUAGCUAACGCGUUAAGCACUCCGCCUGGGGAGUACGGUCGCAAGGCUG